CAGCAGCCGCGGUAAUACAGAGGGUGCAAGCGUUAAUCGGAAUUACUGGGCGUAAAGCGCGCGUAGGUGGUUUGUUAAGUUGGAUGUGAAAUCCCCGGGCUCAACCUGGGAACUGCAUCCAAAACUGGCAGGCUAGAGUAGGGCAGAGGGUGGAGGAAUUUCCUGUGUAGCGGUGAAAUGCGUAGAUAUAGGAAGGAACACCAGUGGCGAAGGCGACCACCUGGGCUCAUACUGACACUGAGGUGCGAAAGCGUGGGGAGCAAACAGGAUUAGAUACCCCAGUAGUCCCUGUUUCUUAUAC
rnacentral:rRNA from 1 species